UCACUCUUGUUUCUUCAGAUCGUAAUUAAUCUUCGCCUUUUUACUAAAGAUGUCCGUGGAGAGGACAACAAGAGUUUAACUCAAUUUUUGAUGCUCUGCUUAUGCGGGGC
rnacentral:snRNA from 1 species